rnacentral:RNase_P_RNA from 19 species
GCGGAGGGCCGGAUGGCCGCGGCACUGGCAACAGGGUCGAGGAAAGUCCGGACUCCAAAAAGCAACGGUGCCGGGUAACGCCCGGGCAAAGCAAUUUGACGGAAAGCGCCACAGAAAACAGACCACCUGUCGUGCAGGUCGGGCAACCGAAACCGCCGACGGGCAAGGGUGAAAAGGUGGGGUAAGAGCCCACCGCGCGGCUGGCAACAGCGGCGGCAUGGCAAGCCCCACCGGGAGCAAUGCCAAAUAGGGACCGCGCGUCGCAAGACGGGGCCGCUUUGGCUCAGCAGGUCCGGGUUGGCAGCUAGAGCCUUGCGGGCAACCGCCGGGCAAGAGGAAUGGUCAUCGAACCGGGGGCAACUUCGGGGAACAGAAUCCGGCUUACAGGCCCUCCGCGCAC